CCUACGAGAGGCAGCAGUGAGGAAUAUUGGUCACUGGGCGGAAGCCUGAACCAGCCAAGUCGCGUGAGGGAUUAAGGCUCUAUGGGUCGUAAACCUCUUUUGUCAGGGAGCAAGGUCGUCCACGUGUGGGCGUAUGGAGCGUACCUGAAGAAAAAGCAUCGGCUAACUCCGUGCCAGCAGCCGCGGUAAUACGGAGGAUGCGAGCGUUAUCCGGAUUUAUUGGGUUUAAAGGGUGCGUAGGCGGGACCUUAAGUCAGCGGUAAAAUUGCGGUGCUCAACGCCGUAGAGCCGUUGAAACUGGGGCUCUUGAGUGAGCGAGAAGUAUGCGGAAUGCGUGGUGUAGCGGUGAAAGGCAUAGAUAUCACGCAGAACCCCGAUUGCGAAGGCAGCAUACCGGCGCUCAACUGACGCUGAGGCACGAAAGUGCGGGUAUCGAACAGGAUUAGAUACCCCUGUAGUC
rnacentral:rRNA from 1 species